UCGAAAUCGAUACGCAAUCCAUAGCCAUAACCAAUACCAAGUUCUUUAUAGAAAUCCUUGAAUUGAAAUUGUGAACCAAUACGUUCGGGGUCAUAUAGCAAAGUCCAGACAUUAGCC
rnacentral:misc_RNA from 1 species